rnacentral:misc_RNA from 1 species
AAGUAGUAAACAUAAAAGAGGGAGGGCCGGUCCGGUCAAAAGACCUGACCCGCCAACUCCCCUUUUAUCUUACCGUGUGCACUGUUUGACCGAACCCGGCUUGAUUGCAAGCCGGUCAUCCGGGUUGGGUUUACUUUUACCGAUAUGAUUUGACUGACAGCUUUUUUUUUACAAAAAAUGAAAAAA